CCUGAGGCCAGGGGAGCUUAGAGGAGGAGGAGGAGGCCAGGGGGCUGAAGGACCACCUGGUACCCCUCGGAGAACAGGCAAAGGAAACAGAAGAAAGAAGCGAGCUGCAGGUCGAGGGGCUCUUAGCCGAGGAGGGGACAGUGCCCCACUGAGCCCUGGGGACAAGGAAGAUGCCAGCCACCAAGAAGCCCUUGGCAAUCUGCCCUCACCAAGUGAGCACAAGCUUCCAGAAUGCAGCCUGGUUAAGGAGGAAUAUGAAGGCUCAGGGAAGCCAGAAUCUGAGCCAAAAGAGCUCAAAACAGCAGGCGAAAAAGAGCCUCAGCCCUCUGAAGCCUGUGGGCCUACAGAAGAGGGGGCCAGAGAGAGAGAGCUGGAGGGGCCAGGCCUGGUGUGUAUGGCAGGACACACAGGCCCAGAAGGCCUCCUGUCUGACACUCCAACACCUCCACUGGAGACUGUGCAGGAAGGAAAAGGGGACAACAUUCCAGAAGAGGCCCUUCCAGUCUCCGUCUCUGAUCACCCUGAUGUAGCUUGGGACUUGAUGGCAUCUGGAUUCCUCAUCCUGACGGGUCAGUGGGCAUCAGUGGGUGAAGGGAAAAAGGACUGGGAAAGAGAAGCAAUUGGGUGGGCUUGGGGACUGGGGGAGGCAGGGUGGAAAGGAGGUAGGCAUGGACUGCUCCCAGCCAGGACAGCCUGGCCAUUUUGUGUCUUCAGGAGGGGUGGACCAGAGUGGGCGAGCUCUGCUGACCAUUACCCCACCGUGCUCUCCUGAGGAGCCCCCACCCUCCCAAGACACGCUGAACACAACUCUUCAUUACCUCCACUCACUGCUCAGGCCUGAUCUACAGAUACUGGGGCUGUCCGUCCUGCUGGACCUUCGCCAGGCACCUCCACUGCCUCUGGCACUCAUUCCUGUCUUGAGCCAACUUCAG
rnacentral:sRNA from 1 species